CUCUUUCUGCGUUCUUGGUGUUUGAACAUACUCUCCGCAUAGUUCUAUCUCCUGUCUCCUGCUCUCAGGGUCUUCAUUUGGUUUUACAUAUGAAUCCUACUUUUGCUGACCCUUUUCAGUCUGACCCAUUCUGACUCUUUGUGUCUCCUGUCUAUUUUGCCUGUGUACCUGUGGGAGUCUGGCUUUUUCCUGUUGGCCUCCUUCAGUUGUCUCCUGGACCUCAAAGGACUCUGCACCACCUAUGAGGAGGACGAGGAAAAAUAGUGCACAUCUCAGAGUGAUACUAGAAGGAUAAAACAACAAUACAUGUAGACUGCUCAGUGUGGAGACUUGCAGACUGUAAGCAUGAGAACAUCAGAGCUGAAAGGUUGGUGUUCACCUGGUAUUCCACCACACAAUUAGGGGUUCACAUCAAAUCAGCAGCGACUGAGCUGACUGUCCUUUAAACCCACUGAAUAUAAGUUGUCUGAUACCUUAAGACAGGCAAUAGUAUGGCGUGGACACUAAUGGAACAAGUGAGUGAAGAUGGAGAUGCUGAUACUGUAGGAGAGAAGCAGAUCAGUGGAUAAAUCAGGCUACAGACUGAUUCACUAUUUACAUUUAAGAGCUCACAAGAAGCUGGAAUAUAUGAUUUUUGAUGUAACUUGGAAAGACAAUAGACUAGAUCAAUAAGCAUUCCGGUGCUGUAGAAAUAUUAAAAAUGAUAAGAGGCUGACAAAACUGUGAAACAGUAAUCUGUGUGGCAGAUGGAUUGUUAAAGGAGACCCAGAAGUCACACAGUGCCAGAUCCAUUGAAUAAGGUGGAUGAGGACACGGAGCAAUGUUUUAAUGAGCCUGCAGCAGUAUUCACCAUUUUCCUGAUCACCCGUCAUAAAGACACUCAAAAGAAGACUUCUAAAACUGCUUCAGAAAGUGAUAAGAACAAUGGUGUAAGUGCCCUGAAAGCCAGGAGAGAAUCUUGAGGGGGAUUACUGGCAAUGUGUCCUUUAUGUAAUAUAUUUCUAGAAAAACUUAAUAUUCACCAUGUAUUUUGAUCACACUGCAUACAUUACAGGAUUGUCAAGGACCCUCUCUAUGUUACAGUAUGCUUCUCACUGCUUUGGCUGGGUGCAGCCUUUUUCAUAAGCAAGGGACUUCCUCUGUAAUAGUAGUGAAGUUGAGGCUAUGCCACCUUAAAAUGCACUGACUAACACUAAAGAGAGGUUCCUGGUUAUAGAGAAGCACCACAUAACAGCACUUUCAUCUGUUUCUCUCUUUUCUAUGCUAUUAAAAUGUUGUGCAGCUGGAGCUCUAGACACGUUAGAGAGAGAAGGCAGGGGAUUUGUGUGGGAGAGAAGACAGGAGACAAGGGUUCCAAAAUGCAAGAAGCUAUUCAAGAAGGUCCUGUGGAUGAUGUAUUCUGGUCAUGGUUUGACAGACUGGAAUUGAAAAGCGAGCAGGUAGACAGGAGUUUCUGAAAACUUUAAGGUGUGAGGAACAGGCAAGUGAGAGACAGGGUAGAUGGUGAUUAAAGGGAUUUGCUUUAGAAUCAUGCCACCUUGAAUCCAAGUCAUGCCACCUACACUUGGAGCUCUUUAACCUUGAAAAAAUUGGUUCCAAACUCUGAGGGUCAGUCUCUUCACCUGCAAUAGUACUUACAGUUUGUGUCUGGGAUUGAGAGAUUUAUUAAGUGAGAAAGUGGAGUGCUCAGCACAUGGGACUGCUCAGUAUAUGUGAGCUCUUGUUGUAAUGCUCAGGUAUGAUGUGACUGUCUUGCCUAUUUUUAAAUGGUUAUUAUUGACAUAAAUACAUACUUUUGUACUUUAUUUGAACAGAUACAAAUAAUUUUUACAAACCAUCGGAAUCUCCACUCAUAUUGAAAUCCAUCAUUGCAUGGCUAAAUUUUCCUUCUUCAUUCUGUUUAACUGCCAAUUGCUGAGUCAGACU